rnacentral:rRNA from 1 species
CCUACGGGGGGCAGCAGUAGGGAAUAUUGCUCAAUGGGGGAAACCCUGAAGCAGCAACGCCGCGUGGAGGAUGAAGGUUUUCGGAUUGUAAACUCCUUUUGUUAGAGAAGAUAAUGACGGUAUCUAACGAAUAAGCACCGGCUAACUCCGUGCCAGCAGCCGCGGUAAUACGGAGGGUGCAAGCGUUACUCGGAAUCACUGGGCGUAAAGAGCGCGUAGGCGGGGUUGCAAGUCAGAUGUGAAAUCCUAUGGCUUAACCAUAGAACUGCAUUUGAAACUGUUAUUCUAGAGUGUGGGAGAGGGAGGUGGAAUUCUUGGUGUAGGGGUAAAAUCCGUAGAGAUUAAGAGGAAUACUCAUUGCGAAGGCGACCUGCUAGAACAUAACUGACGCUGAUGCGCGAAAGCGUGGGGAGCAAACAGGAUUAGAUACCCUAGUAGUC